ensembl:lncRNA
UUACUGGUGUGAGUAAGAGAUUACUGGUGUGAGUAAGAGAUUACUGGUGUGAGUAAGAGAUUACUGGUGUGAGGGUGAGAGAUUACUGGUGUGAGUAAGAGAUUACUGGUGUGAGGGUGAGAGAUUACUGGUGUGUGUGUGAGAGAUUACUGGUGUGAGGGUGAGAGAUUACUGGUGUGAGGGUGAGAGAUUACUGGUGUGAGGGUGAGAGAUUACUGGUGUGUGUGUGAGAGAUUACUGGUGUGAGUGUGAGAGAUUACUGGUGUGAGGGUGAGAGAUUACUGGUGUGAGGGUGAGAGAUUACUGGUGUGAGUACGAGAUUACUGGUGUGAGUAAGAGAUUCUACUGGUGUGAGGGUGAGAGAUUACUGGUGUGUGUGUGAGAGAUUACUGGUGUGAGGGUGAGAGAUUACUGGUGUGAGGGUGAGAGAUUACUGGUGUGAGAUUACUGGUGUGAGGGUGAGAGAUUACUGGUGUGAGGGUGAGAGAUUACUGGUGUGAGGGUGAGAGAUUACUGGUGUGAGGGUGAGAGAUUACUGGUGUGAGGGUGAGAGAUUACUGGUGUGAGU